UGCUCCUUAGUUCAGUGGUUUAGAAUAGCACUUUUACACAGUGAAGGUCAUUAGUUCGAUUCUAAUAGGAGCAAC
rnacentral:tRNA from 2 species